CGGGGGAGGAGCGGGGGGCGGGAGGAGCGAGCGAAGGGCGCGGCCGGGCGCCCCUUGGAAAUCGCCGGAGCCUUUUCGCUUUCUAGUGAGUCCAAAUUCCCUCCCAGUGUUCCCAGGAUCUCUUCCAGUGCUCCCAGCGGCAAAGCCCUUGGGGGCACGUCUUGGUUUGCUCUUGAAGAGGCAAGACUUGAGCUGUCAGGAGAGAAAGCCCGGCUGGAAAAGCAUUCCCUGCAGAGGAAGGUGUCUCCCCUCCCUGACCACAGAGGGAGCUCAGUCUCCGCUGUUGACUCCAAACCGCUCAAGCUCCGAGUCCGACUGCCCGAAACUGGCUCGGCCCCACUUCCCAGCGCCCUGCUCAGAGCUCACACGGCUGAGGGGGCGGUGCAGAUUAAAUCAUUAAUGCUCCUGGGCACUGCUUUAGCUCUGACCUACACACUGGCACACAGGAACAAAACCCCUAACGAGGAUGGGUUCCUCUUGCUGGCACAAGAAGAGAAGGAGAAAUCUGACAGGAAUAUUCUUCAUCAUUCUGCCCAGGCUUGGCCAAACACUCCAGCUCCUGCACCUCGGGAAAUAACAAGUGGCUUCUAAGAAGUGACUUUGAUGUCAGUGAGCAGCAUCUCUAAGAAUACUUUAAAAAAAAUUGAAUUUAAACUGAAGGAGAAGCAAUCUGGCUGCAGGCUUCUAUUCGUGACAUCCAGCGGCGGUGGCGGAGCUCGGAGGCGGCUCCAGCCCAGGUGGGACCCGCGGUCGGUGCUGCCCCAGCUCGGGGNNNNNNNNNNNNNNNNNNNNCUCAGAGCUGCUAUUAUUGA
rnacentral:lncRNA from 1 species